rnacentral:rRNA from 1 species
UACGGGGGGGGCAAGCGUUGUUCGGAAUUACUGGGCGUAAAGGGCUCGUAGGCGGCCAACUAAGUCAGACGUGAAAUCCCCAGGCUCAACCUGGGAACUGCGUCUGAUACUGGAUGGCUUGAAUCCGGGAGAGGGAUGCAGAAUUCCAGGUGUAGCGGUGAAAUGCGUAGAUAUCUGGAGGAAUACCGGUGGCGAAGGCGGCAUCCUGGACCGGCAUUGACGCUGAGGAGCGAAAGCUAGGGGAGCGAACCGG